rnacentral:rRNA from 1 species
CCUACGGGAGGCAGCAGUGGGGAAUAUUGCACAAUGGGGGAAACCCUGAUGCAGCGACGCCGCGUGAGUGAAGAAGUAUUUCGGUAUGUAAAGCUCUAUCAGCAGGGAAGAAAAUGACGGUACCUGACUAAGAAGCCCCGGCUAACUACGUGCCAGCAGCCGCGGUAAUACGUAGGGGGCAAGCGUUAUCCGGAUUUACUGGGUGUAAAGGGAGCGUAGACGGUCAGACAAGUCAGAAGUGAAAGCCCAGGGCUCAACCCUGGGAGUGCUUUUGAAACUGCCGGGCUGGAGUGCAGGAGAGGUAAGCGGAACUCCAAGUGUAGCGGUGGAAUGCGUAGAUAUAAGGAAGAACACCAGUGGCGAAGGCGGCUUACUGGACUGUAACUGACGUUGAGGCUCGAAAGCAUGGGGAGCGAACAGGAUUAGAUACCCGAGUAGUC